AAGCAGGGGAUCGUAAGACCUUGCGCUUUUGGAGCGGCCGAUGCCUGAUUAGCUAGUUGGUGGGGUAAAAGCCUACCAAGGCAACGAUCAGUAGUUGGUCUGAAAGGACGACCAGCCACACUGGGACUGAGACACGGCCCAGACUCCUACGGGAGGCAGCGGUGGGGAAUUUUGGACAAUGGGCGAAAGCCUGAUCCAGCAAUGCCGCGUGAGUGAAGAAGGCCUUCGGGUUGUAAAGCUCUUUCAGUCGAGAAGAAAAGGUUGUGAUGAAUAAUCACAACUCAUGACGGUAUCGACAGAAGAAGCACCGGCUAACUACGUGCCAGCAGCCGCGGUAAUACGUAGGGUGCAAGCGUUAAUCGGAAUUACUGGGCGUAAAGGGUGCGCAGGCGGCUUUGUAAGUCAGAUGUGAAAUCCCCGGGCUUAACCUGGGAAUUGCGUUUGAAACUACAAAGCUAGA
rnacentral:rRNA from 1 species